rnacentral:lncRNA from 1 species
CUCAUCAAGGGGGAGAUUGAGGACCAAUGGUGGUCACCCUUGGAUGAUGAGUGAUUGACAACGUGUGUGUUGGAAUGAUGUUGCUCUUAGCUUGUGAUGUGCAGGUGUAGGAUGCGGUGUCACAGCCAACGGCGUGCGGUGCAGGUCAAGGGAAAGGUUCAUGCCCAUGGAUCAAUGGUGGUGAAGGAUGACCGUGAGU